AAACUUUCAACAACGGAUCUCUUGGUUCUCGCAUCGAUGAAGAACGCAGCGAACUGCGAUAAGUAAUGUGAAUUGCAGAAUUUUGUGAAUCAUCGAAUCUUUGAACGCACAUUGCGCCUUUUGGUAUUCCAAAAGGCAUACCUGUUUGAGAGUCAUUUCU
rnacentral:rRNA from 1 species